UACGAGGGGGGCGAGCGUUGUUCGGAAUCACUGGGCGUAAAGCGCACGUAGGCGGAUGUGUCAGUCAGGGGUGAAAUCCCGGGGCUCAACCUCGGAACUGCCUUUGAUACAGCACGUCUUGAGUCCGAUAGAGGUGGGUGGAAUUCCUAGUGUAGAGGUGAAAUUCGUAGAUAUUAGGAAGAACACCGGUGGCGAAGGCGGCCCACUGGAUCGGUACUGACGCUGAGGUGCGAAAGCGUGGGGAGCAAACAGG
rnacentral:rRNA from 1 species